ensembl:lncRNA
CAAACGUGAGGCCAAAGCGGGAGGCCGUGGGGCGCGAGAGCCUGGCCGCGGCCAUCUUGGCUAAUUUGCUCUUUCCCUGCGGUGUGUAUCAGGGGUUGGGGUACCAUGUGUGUGACUGCGUUCAGAGAGAAUCAGAGUCUGAGUGGGAUGCUGUCUGGACCACUCUGGGAUCUCUAACCCCCAGCACAACACUUAAUCCAUGAUGAAAAUUCAGCAUAUGCUGUGGACUGAGGCAUGAUGUUACAUCUGUAUGGAGCUUAGGUCUGGAUCUGGAGUUGGCUGCUUGGGCGUUGCUUGGAAGGAGCCAAGCCUUCCUGGUGUCUUCUGACCACACCCUGCACUCUUCCAAAGCAGCAAGUGAGUGGAGCAAGGAGCUUGGCUUACUGAAAAUCCUUCUGGAGGAGGAUCUCAUGGGAAUUGAUCUAUAAACAUGAGGGCUGAACCACAAAGUUCUCCGUCUUUCUUAGCUCUGACGUGCUCUGCAUCUGAGACAACCAUUUUUGGCUGAAUGACUCCCAAGUGUCUGCUUGGGAGAACUUGCCUUUGUACGCAUAGUUGACACUGAGCACCACCCACGUUGACUCAAGAAAACCUUCUGGGCCUGGUGGUGUUAACAUUUGCCACCAGUGCCCCCGGGCUCCCUGUCCUCCACCAUCUCCCCCACUCCAGCUCCAGGGGUGGGAGGCCGGGGUCUAUGCUGUCCGUGCUCAGCGGUGGACCCGGGGCCAGCCCUGUCGGCGUCAGACUAAGAAAGAGCUGGAUGCUCCCAGCCUCCCUCCAGGCGGCUGUCCAGGAUGACUGGCAGAAGCAGCUGGAAGGCUUUUCUCUGGAGACUGUGUUUCUCAGCUCAUCCUAGACUUCUGAGUUUAUGUGGCAUGUAAGUCCUCCAUCCUGUGAACUGGUAAGGCACUCAGGCCAUUGCACCAUUUUGGGACGUAAUUCUACAUGAAUCUUCUCCAUUUGUUCCUUAAUUAUUGGUCUCUUAAGGCUCUAUAUCACUUUAAUUCUUGGUGGCAAUAUGCAUUUCCCAAGAAAAUAAUUUGUCUUCUUGACAAAUAAGACAAGAAAAUUGGAAAAAUUGGAAAAUUAUUUUUCCCAAGGAAAUAAUUGUCUUAAAUUGUAGGCCUGACUGAGUUUGUAACCCUUGGCUCAGCGUGAGAAGGAAAGAGAGCCAAGACAGAGGCUCUAGGAGCAUCAGUAUUCAGGAGCAGAGAAGGAAGGAGUAUUAGAAAGGACUGUGAAAGGAACGUCCUGAGAAGUAUGGAAAAUCAGGAGGUCUGGGACCAAAGGAAGAAGAAUUUCUCAGUACUGACAGUAAUCAAGCUGGGCUCAUGUUUCUUUGCCAUGUUAGAGAGCAGGAGAAACGAGAAGUAACCUAUCCAGAAUUUUUAAAGGAAAGUUGAGAUUCAAGAAUUCCAUAUGAAAGGUAAGAUGCCAUCGUGUAUGAAGGCAGUCGAAAUAAAUUCUCAGUUACACACAUUUUUCAGGGAAAAUACCACAUCUAUGUUUUCUGGAAAAUUACUUAUUUAAAAAUAUAAACCAGCUUGCCUGGAAGAUCCCAUGGACGGAGGAGCCUGGUAGGCUGCAGUCCAUGGGGUCACUAAGAGUCGGACACGACUGAGCGACUUCCCUUUCACUUUUCACUUUCCUGCAUUGGAGAAGGAAAUGGCAACCC